GCGGAGUCCGGCGGCUGCACGCGCUCCCCUCUCCAGUCCGGGAUGCGAGGGGCAGCGGCUUCUUCCAGCGGCUGCAUCCUUCUCGCCUUGGCCCCGGCGGGUGAAGGGUCUAGAUGGCCCGGCAUCCUGGCCCGAUGGCCGUGUAACAGGUGCGGCUCUCGUCCGGACCGCGGGUCCGGUAGCUCGCAUCUUCGGCGGCACGGAGAUCCCUCUAAUGCACCCUUCCUGGACCCACAAGGACACCAGCGUGCAUGCACGGGGAAGAGACCGGAAAAGCACACGUUUGAA